rnacentral:lncRNA from 1 species
UGGAACCCUCGCAGUAUCACUCUACGGAUCAACAGUACGGUCCGUAGAUCAAUCUACGGACCGUCAAUAGACGUCGUGGUUCCACACUUGGUCAGAUUUCCCUGAUUUGUCCUCUAUGCCUUGCCUGCUGAUCUACGGUCAUAACCUACGGACCGUGAAUGGACCUACGGUCCGUAGAUCACCUCCGUGAAUGCCUUUCUUCUGCAUUUCUUUCAGCUGUCUCUACACUUCCGCACCUGAACGUCUUUCCUGCAAAACAUGAUAAAAACACAUCAAAACCAAUAUAAAAAGGCCUUAGACACACACAACUUGUAAGUGAAACGUAUUAAAAAUACCGUAAACUCACGGU